GGCUGAUGGCCGCUGUCCCUCCCGCCAGUGCUGAAGUCAGCCCCACCCCAGGACGGAGGGAGGGUGUUCCUCCCGGCCGGAGAGGCCCCCAGGAGGCGCCCAGGAAGCCCCACCCCCGCCCUGGCGCAAUCCGGCCGCCCGGGGCGCUGUCCGCCCCGUCGAGUGCUGAAACUCCCUGCUCUGCGGGUCUCGGGCUGGAAUGCCCAACCUGGCUCCGCGAUGGGGAGGCAGGGAGAACUUUACUUUCUCUUUUUUAGUGAGUUCUCAUCUCCUCCCACCCCAAGAUAGUCAGGAUUUGGGGUGGGAGCAUAACGAUGGCAUUGGGAUUGCUUUUCCUACAUCUUAAAAGAUUUUGGGUCGAGUGGGGAUUGUGGAGGCUGCCAGAUGCCCACCUGUCGGAGGUCACCAGGCAACCCUGUCCUGGGGCGACCCCACUCCUCACAACACCAGGACCUGAGGUCGCUCCCGAGACCAGGCUCUGCACGUAGAUACAGCUGCGAAGACUACAAGCCUCUGUCUGGGUCGCGGGACUGCCAGGAGAGCGACUGUAAACAGAAGUAGGGGACUAUGUCAGUCAGGCUAGAUGCUGGGAGGAUGGGAGAGCUGGAGAAGGCAGGUGGCGAUUUUAAAUAGCUCUUGCUUCGACUCCAUUCCAGAUUCUAGGAUCAAAUUCUAGGUUCUAGAGGAAGGACAGUACACCUAUCAACAAGCAAGCCUGCAGAACGAGUGGGCAGGUGGGUGGCUGCUGCUGAGGCCAGGUGAGGGGCAGUGAAGACUCGGGGCUUGCAUGGCCUGAUCAGCCGCUCAGCCAUUCACGCUAGCUUGGACAGCUGCUUCUGGAGAGCUAAGUGUCAGGCUCAACCACGGGAUCCACUGCCCCUGCUCACUCUGUGCAGUGGGGCGGGUAGACUGUAUCAGACCAUCUCGGAGUGACUGUGGGGUGGGAAGGUUUGCAUGCAGAAGGGGCCAGGCUUUCCUCCAGUGGGCCACACUUGGGCCCUGCCUGGUCUCUGCUCGUUUGUUUUCUCACAUAUCUGUUGCGUGGUAUUAAGGUGGCGGAGAUGCAGAGGAGAACCUUGCCCCGGAGGGGGAAAACUUAAUGAGACUUGGUUUUCGCUCCACUCUGGGCUUCGUUCCCAUUGCAUCACGCAGAACUGUUUGUAAAAUCCUAUCUACUCUCAGUUCCAUCACAGUGACGCAGCCCAAGCUGCCACUGCCUUCUCUCCCUGUGACCUCUGCUCUGAGCUCCCCCAUCCGUCCUGUGCCUCCCACAGGUCACGAUGGAAGCCACGGCUGUCAGAAUGAAUGUACCAUUUCCUGAAUUGAAUGUGGUUGUCACUGGAGUAAAGCCUUCCCAGGGUUUUUCCUUGCUCUGACCUGAUAGAUCUGGUUCAGUCUCUCCCUCUUCUGAGCUUGCCCAUCGUUGAAGCAAGACAAGCAACUAAACACAUUUUUUUUAAUGAGAGGGUUUCAGCUAAUCAUGAGUGAAAACCGGAAAUCAUGAGUGUGAUGGGGAGGGGCGGGCUAUCCUGAGACCUUUUUGGUGGGGGUGGGGAGGUCAGGGAAGGCCUCUCAGAGGUGGAAGACGAACUCCACGGUAAGAAGGGAGUUCCAGGUGGAGUGUGUCCAGGUUAGAGGGCAAGGGCAAAUGAGGGUUAGCCACAAGCCGCCCUAGCCACAACAAAAUCAGCACAGAAAAUACAAGACUUGCUUUCCUUCCUUAUUGUGCUGUGUGUGUGUGUGUUACAAAUUAAAAUCACCUGAGCAGGGAGCCUCACUUGUCUUAAUUUUCUUAAUUGAUGUGGGGGUACCUACCCAUAUGUGGGCAGCACCUACUGGUAAGAGCCCAGAUUAAAGGGCGUGGAAGAAGGAAGACCACUCACCUUUUGUUGGCUUGGCCUGGCCUCUUGCUGCAGAGUUGAUUGCUGCCGCUGCUGCUGCUGAUCAUUCCUCACUGGUAUCAGACCAGCGACUUCAGGCUUCUAUCACAGACUAAGGACCUUCAAGUCUCCGGGAACAUUUGCAUUUUCAGUGCCGGCUUGGGACUGCUUGAGGUACCCCAAGGACCAAGAAACUACCAGAUUCUCAGCUUCAUGGUGUUGGGACUAUUUCAGAGUAAGCUGAUUAAAUAUAUUCUUUAACAUACUUGACAUAUAAAAUGCUUUCUAUUUUGAUAUAUAAAA